GCUUUCGUGGUGUAGUGGUCAAUACGCUCGAUGGGUAUUCGAGAGAUCCGUGGUUCGAAUCCUAGCGAAGGCA
rnacentral:tRNA from 1 species